GGGGCUGUCUUGGUUUCGACAGGUUUAAGUUUGAUUCAGAUUGCAGUGGAGUGGUGUCCUAAACACCAAUUAAAUUUAAACGCAAAUAGAAACAAUAGUUUCGCUUUCGCUGCCUAAGGACACUAGAGGUGUCGCAGCGACCCAAUCAAUGUAUUGCCAGUUGAUAUUGAUUGCGUAAUUAAUUGGAUACGGUGAACCUUAAGCUUGUAAGGGAAUCCCGACAAUUCUACAAGCAAAUUCAACAUAUGGAAUGUUCAUCCUCAUAUAUGUUGUCUUAUUAAGUGAUGAACUAAACUGUAGAUAUCUGAAUGUGGGACUAUUCUUGGACAGGGGUUCGAACCCCCUCAGCUCCACCA
rnacentral:tmRNA from 1 species